AGGUCAUUGCAUACUGAAUACAUAGGUAUGCAAAGCGAACGCGGCGAACUGAAACAUCUAAGUAGCUGCAGGAAAAUAAAUCAACCGAGAUUCCCAAAGUAGUGGCGAGCGAAAUGGGAUGAGCCUGCACGUUUUAGCAUGACGGAUAGUAGAAACCACUGGAAAUUGGUGCCAUAGAGGGUGAUAGCCCCUUAUACGAAAUUCGAUGUGUGGAACUAAGCGUGCGACAAGUAGGGCGGGACACGAGAAAUCCUGUCUGAAUAUGGGGGGACCAUCCUCCAAGGCUAAAUACUCGUAAUCGACCGAUAGUGAACCAGUACCGUGAGGGAAAGGCGAAAAGAACCCCGGAAGGGGAGUGAAAUAGAUCCUGAAACCGUGUGCAUACAAACAGUAGGAGCGGACUUGUUCCGUGACUGCGUACCUUUUGUAUAAUGGGUCAGCGACUUACAUUCAGUGGCAAGGUUAACCGUAUAGGGAAGCCGUAGAGAAAUCGAGUCCGAAUAGGGCGACAGUCGCUGGGUGUAGACCCGAAACCAAGUGAUCUACUCAUGGCCAGGAUGAAGGUGCGGUAACACGCCCUGGAGGUCCGAACCCACUAAUGUUGAAAAAUUAGGGGAUGAGCUGUGGGUAGGGGUGAAAGGCUAAACAAACUUGGAAAUAGCUGGUUCUCUCCGAAAACUAUUUAGGUAGUGCCUCAAGUAUCACCAUCGGGGGUAGAGCACUGUUAUGGCUAGGGGUUCAUUGCGAAUUACCAAACCAUUGCAAACUCCGAAUACCGAUGAGUGCGAGCUUGGGAGACAGACGUCGGGUGCUAACGUCCGGCGUCAAGAGGGAAACAACCCAGACCGCCAGCUAAGGUCCCAAAGAUUGGCUAAGUGGAAAACGAAGUGGGAAGGCUAAAACAGUCAGGAUGUUGGCUUAGAAGCAGCCAUCAUUUAAAGAAAGCGUAAUAGCUCACUGAUCGAGUCGUCCUGCGCGGAAGAUGUAACGGGGCUAAGCCAGUCACCGAAGCUGCGGAUAU
rnacentral:rRNA from 2 species